rnacentral:rRNA from 1 species
CUUCUGCGGUGAAAAUACUAAUUGGAAAAAUAGGACAAUGUUUUUAU